UUUCCAAAGUGUGAAUCUGAAAACCAUCCAUCUGGUCAUGCUGGCAUCUUUCUAAAUUGUAUGUGAUUGAAAGAAAUGUAUUCAACAUUUUGCAACUCUUUGGCCAAAUGAGGAAGAUAACAAGAGAAAGCUCUGCUGAAAGUUGUGUGAUCUUCAGGUUAGUGUAAUGAAGAAGAAAAAAACCCUUGAAAACCUCUCACUUUGUCAGGACUGGGCUGAGGGCAGAUGACUCACAGUAUGGAUUCAAGUUAAAUCAUUUAACCUUUUUUUCUUAUUCAACCCAUCUGGGAAGCUGAAUACAAGCGCUUCACUAUGGAACAGAUGGUGCACCAAAGCUAAAUUUUCCCAGAUUAAAAAAGAAGAAAAAUGUGUUAUAAGCACUAAGGGAACCAAACAUGGAAAAAGACCAGGGAUUAAAAGCAAAAGAGCUAUAAAUUGGAUCAAGCCUUUUCCUCUGUAAAAAAUAAUGUAAUACUUAAAAAAUCAGUCCUGUGAGAUGAUUUGGGGACAAAGUUAGUAAAAUGUUUCCUAAGCAC